GAUGAACGCUGGCGGCGUGCCUAAUUCAUGCAAGUCGAGCGAACAGACGAGGAGCUUGCUCCUCUGACGUUAGCGGCGGACGGGUGAGUAACACGUGGAUAACCUACCUAUAAGACUGGGAUAACUUCGGGAAACCGGAGCUAAUACCGGAUAACAUGUUGAACCGCAUGGUUCAACAGUGAAAGACGGUCUUGCUGUCACUUAUAGAUGGAUCCGCGCCGCAUUAGCUAGUUGGUAAGGUAACGGCUUACCAAGGCAACGAUGCGUAGCCGACCUGAGAGGGUGAUCGGCCACACUGGAACUGAGACACGGUCCAGACUCCUACGGGAGGCAGCAGUAGGGAAUCUUCCGCAAAGGGCGAAAGCCUGACGGAGCAACGCCGCGUGAGUGAAGAAGGUCUUCGGAUCGUAAAACUCUGUUAUUAGGGAAGAACAAAUGUGUAAGUAACUAUGCACGUCUUGACGGUACCUAAUCAGAAAGCCACGGCUAACUACGUG
rnacentral:rRNA from 1 species